CUACGGGUCGCUCCAGUGAGGAAUAUUGCACAAUGGGGGGAACCCUGAUGCAGCAACGCCGCGUGGAGGAUGACGCAUUUCGGUGUGUAAACUCCUUUUAUAUGUCAAGAAAAUGACGGUAGCAUAUGAAUAAGCACCGGCUAACUCCGUGCCAGCAGCCGCGGUAAUACGGAGGGGUGCAAGCGUUACUCGGAAUCACUGGGCGUAAAGGACGCGUAGGCGGGUUGGAAAGUCAGGUGUGAAAUCCUACAGCUUAACUGUAGAACUGCACUUGAAACUUCUAAUCUAGAGUAUGGGAGGGGGAGAUGGAAUUAGUGGUGUAGGGGUAAAAUCCGUAGAUAUCACUAGGAAUACCUAAAGCGAAGGCGAUCUCCUGGAACAUUACUGACGCUAAGGCGUGAAAGCGUGGGGAGCAAACAGGAUUAGAUACCCCUGUAGUC
rnacentral:rRNA from 1 species